rnacentral:tmRNA from 1 species
CGACUUCCAUGUGGGAGCUGACGGGCCUAUAUCCGACUCGUCCGGGCAACCGGACUAUGGCGAUAAACGCGUAGAGAUAGGCGGAUCGGACCCGGGUGCGAUGCCCGGCGGCUCCACCAUUUCAGGUGUCAGGUGACAGUAAUCAGGUGCCAGUUCGUUUGGCUGAUACCUGACACCCGACGCCUCUUUAUGGGGCCGAAAUAGGAUCGACGGACGUUGAAGGCUGAUGCUUUUGCUCGGGUGGUCCCGUUACAGGCCAAACAGCAUAGUUGCCAAUGACAACAACGCUGAGGAAUUCGCCCUCGCUGCGUAAGCAGUGCGGAGUUUUCCGAACCUAAGCCCUUACGAGUAGCAUCCUAAGGCGGGGUCCCCGGGCGCCCGGCAACAGAAGCCAGGGAUU